rnacentral:rRNA from 1 species
CCUACGGGUGGCAGCAGUGGGGAAUAUUGGACAAUGGGCGAAAGCCUGAUCCAGCCAUGCCGCGUGUGUGAAGAAGGCCUUCGGGUUGUAAAGCACUUUCAGUGGGGAAGAAAGCCUUGGGGCUAAUACCCUCGAGGAAGGACAUCACCCACAGAAGAAGCACCGGCUAACUCCGUGCCAGCAGCCGCGGUAAUACGGAGGGUGCGAGCGUUAAUCGGAAUUACUGGGCGCAAAGCGCGCGUAGGCGGUCUGAUAAGCCGGUUGUGAAAGCCCCGGGCUCAACCUGGGAACGGCAUCCGGAACUGUCAGGCUAGAGUGCAGGAGAGGAAGGUAGAAUUCCCGGUGUAGCGGUGAAAUGCGUAGAGAUCGGGAGGAAUACCAGUGGCGAAGGCGGCCUUCUGGACUGACACUGACGCUGAGGUGCGAAAGCGUGGGUAGCAAACAGGAUUAGAUACCCCAGUAGUC